rnacentral:hammerhead_ribozyme from 1 species
AUCUAGUUGACGAGUGCCAAAUAGGACGAAACGAGUGUUCUGGAA